UCCACAUAUGGAUGGUGUGUGUGUGUACGAAAAUGCAUGCACUCACUACUGUAAGUCGCUCUGGACAAGAUAAAUGACUAAAAUGUAACGUGUUUGUAUGACCCUGUCUCAUGUCCUGGGCAUAGUGCCUGAGUAAGAUGUUGUGUGUAUGUGUGUAACUCUGUGUGUCUCUCCUUCCAAGGUUGGGUGUAUCUGAGUAAGAUGUUGUCUGUAUGUGUGUUUCUCCUUCCAAGGUUGGGUGUAUCUGAGUAAGAUGUUGUCUGUAUGUGUGUUUCUCCUUCCAAGGUUGGGUGUAUCUGAGUAAGAUGUUGUCUGUAUGUGUGUUUCUCCUUCCAAGGUUGGGUGUAUCUGAGUAAGAUGUUGUCUGUAUGUGUGUUUCUCCUUCCAAGGUUGGGUGUAUCUGAGUAAGAUGUUGUCUGUAUGUGUGUUUCUCCUUCCAAGGUUGGGUGUAUCUGAGUAAGAUGUUGUCUGUAUGUGUGUUUCUCCUUCCAAGGUUGGGUGUAUCUGAGUAAGAUGUUGUCUGUAUGUGUGUUUCUCCUUCCAAGGUUGGGUGUAUCUGAGUAAGAUGUUGUCUGUAUGUGUGUUUCUCCUUCCAAGGUGGGGUGUAUCUGAGUAAGAUGUUGUCUGUAUGUGUGUUUCUCCUUCCAAGGUGGGGUGUAUCUGAGUAAGAUGUUGUCUGUAUGUGUGUUUCUCCUUCCAAGGUUGGGUGUAUCUGAGUAAGAUGUUGUCUGUAUGUGUGUUUCUCCUUCCAAGGUUGGGUGUAUCUGAGUAAGAUGUUGUCUGUAUGUGUGUUUCUCCUUCCAAGGUUGGGUGUAUCUGAGUAAGAUGUUGUCUGUAUGUGUGUUUCUCCUUCCAAGGUUGGGUGUAUCUGAGUAAGAUGUUGUCUGUAUGUGUGUUUCUCCUUCCAAGGUGGGGUGUAUCUGAGUAAGAUGUUGUCUGUAUGUGUGUUUCUCCUUCCAAGGUUGGGUGUAUCUGAGUAAGAUGUUGUCUGUAUGUGUGUUUCUCCUUCCAAGGUUGGGUGUAUCUGAGUAAGAUGUUGUCUGUAUGUGUGUUUCUCCUUCCAAGGUUGGGUGUAUCUGAGUAAGAUGUUGUCUGUAUGUGUGUUUCUCCU